rnacentral:rRNA from 1 species
ACUACGGGUGGCAGCAGUGGGGGAUAGUGCACAAUGGGGGAAACCCUGAUGCAGCAACGCCGCGUGAGUGAAGAAGGUCUUCGGAUUGGAAAGCUCUGUUCUUGGUGAAGAGAAUGACGGUAGCCAAGGAGAAAGCUCCGACGAACUACGUGCCCGCAGCCGCGGUAAUACGUAGGGAGCGAGCGUUGUCCGGAUUUACUGGGUGAAACGGGGGCGCAGGCGGCUCGGCAAGUCAGGCGUGAAAGCUAGGGGCUCACCCCCUAAAUUGCGCGUGAAACUGUGGAGCUUGAGUGUAGUAGAGGCAGGCUGAAUUCCCGGUGUAGCGGUGAAAUGCGUAGAGAUCGUGAGGAACACCAGUGGCGACGGCGGCCUGCUGGGCUUUAACUGACGCUCAGGCACGAAAGCCUGGGUAGCAAACAGGAUUAGAUACCCUUGUAGUC